GACGUCAUCUGCAGGCCCUGGAGACGCGACUGCAGUUACCGAGUUUCUAAGGCCUCGUCCCCUGACGGGAAGGCGGCGUUGGGGGGCGGCUGGGUUUACCCUUCGAGAGUCCGUGUGAGAACCGGGACACCUGUCCUGUUGAAAAGGGGGACGCAAAAGCUGAAAAUGCCCGGAAGGAUAUGGCUUCCUUGAACUGCGGGACGUGUAGCUGCAGCUGUGGGGUGGACCAUGGAAACAGGUAGGAACUCUCUGCUGAGUGGCAGAUGGCCUUGGGCAGCGAUGAGUAUUACAUUGUUUUCCCUGCGUGUCUUUCCCGUCAGCUCCAUCAGAAGUACCAGGGAGGACUCUGACAGGCCUGGCCUGGGAGUUAGAAAACACCAGGAAAAGGGUUGUUCCCACCUGGAAGAGAAAUGCUAGAGCAACACACCAUCUUCCUCAACAUUAUCAUCUGUCUCUGGAUGACAAUGAAAUUCACAGGACACUGAUUGUCUUUUUAUCCCAUUGGACAUCGUGAUAGUCUACAAUACUGAUAACACCAUGAUGAUAGGAUCUGAAGACCUGGAAGUACCAG
rnacentral:lncRNA from 10 species